CCUACGGGAGGCAGCAGUGGGGAAUAUUGCACAAUGGGGGAAACCCUGAUGCAGCGACGCCGCGUGAGUGAAGAAGUAAUUCGUUAUGUAAAGCUCUAUCAGCAGGGAAGAAAAUGACGGUACCUGAGUAAGAAGCCCCGGCUAACUACGUGCCAGCAGCCGCGGUAAUACGUAGGGGGCAAGCGUUAUCUGGAUUUACUGGGUGGAAAGGGAGCGUAGACGGCAGUGCAAGUCUGGAGUGAAAGGCGGGGGCUUAACCCCCGGACUGCUCUGGAAACUGUACGGCUGGAGUGCAGGAGAGGUAAGUGGAAUUCCUAGUGUAGCGGUGAAAUGCGUAGAUAUUAGGAGGAACACCAGUGGCGAAGGCGGCUUACUGGACUGUAACUGACGUUGAGGCUCGAAAGCGUGGGGAGCAAACAGGAUUAGAUACCCUGGUAGUC
rnacentral:rRNA from 1 species